rnacentral:rRNA from 1 species
UACGGAGGGGGCUAGCGUUGUUCGGAAUUACUGGGCGUAAAGCGCACGUAGGCGGCUUUGCAAGUUAGAGGUGAAAGGCCCGGGGCUCAACUCCGGAAUUGCCUUUAAAAACUGCAUCGCUAGAAUUGUGGAGAGGUAAGUGGAAUUCCGAGUGUAGAGGUGAAAUUCGUAGAUAUUCGGAAGAACACCAGUGGCGAAGGCGACUUACUGGACACAUAUUGACGCUGAGGUGCGAAAGCGUGGGGGAGCAAACAGG